AUAGCAUGAAGUCAAACAAGAGAACCCGCUGAAUUUAAGCAUAUAAGUAGGCGGAGGAAAAGAAACUAAACAGGAUUCCCUUAGUAAUGGCGAACGAACAGGGAUAAGCUCAGGUUGGAAACCAGGGCCCUGGUCCUGGGUUGUAGCCUGCAGACGUAGCGCUAUCGGCGGCUUGAGCGAAAGCCUCUUGGAACAGAGCGUGUGCCCAGGUGAGAAUCCUGUGUUUCGCUUGAAGUCCGCCGUGUACGGUGCUUGCUCUCAAAGUCACGCUCCUCGGAAUUGGAGCGUAAAUCAGGUGGUAGAUUUCAUCUAAAGCCAAAUACAGACCUGAGACCGAUGAGGGAAAGAUGAAAAGGACUUUGGAAAGAGAGUUAAAAGUGCUUGAAAUCGCUGAAAGGGAAGCGAAUGGAACCACAUGCUUGCUGAGAUUGCUGCCAAUGCUUGUGAGCCCUGGUCAUUAAAGCGCAAGCUUCUUGUCUAGGAGUGAGUUGGCAUUUGUAGUGCUUCUUAGCAUGCG
rnacentral:rRNA from 1 species